rnacentral:rRNA from 1 species
GACGAACGCUGGCGGCGUGCUUAACACAUGCAAGUCGAGCGGUAAGGCCCUUUCGGGGGUACACGAGCGGCGAACGGGUGAGUAACACGUGGGUGACCUGCCCUCAGCUCUGGGAUAAGCCUGGGAAACCGGGGUCUAAUACCGGAUAUGACUCCAUGACGCAUGUUGUGGGGUGGAAAGCCUUGUGCGGCUGAGGAUGGGCCCGCGGCCUAUCAGCUUGUUGGUGGGGUGAUGGCCUACCAAGGCGACGACGGGUAGCCGGCCUGAGAGGGCGACCGGCCACACUGGGACUGAGACACGGCCCAGACUCCUACGGGAGGCAGCAGUGGGGAAUAUUGGACAAUGGGCGCAAGCCUGAUCCAGCCAUGCCGCGUGGGUGAAGAAGGCCUUUAGGGUUGUAAACCCCUUUCAGCGGGGAAGAUAAUGACGUACCCGCAGAAGAAGUCCGGCUAACUCCGUGCCAGCCGCCGCUGU